AAGGUACUCCGGGGAUAACAGGCUUAUCUCCCCCAAGAGUUCACAUCGACGGGGAGGUUUGGCACCUCGAUGUCGGCUCAUCGCAUCCUGGGGCUGGAGAAGGUCCCAAGGGUUGGGCUGUUCGCCCAUUAAAGCGGUACGCGAGCUGGGUUUAGAACGUCGUGAGACAGUUCGGUCCCUAUCCGUUGCGGGCGCAGGAGACUUGAGAGGAUUUGUCCCUAGUACGAGAGGACCGGGAUGAACAGACCUCUGGUGUGUCAGUUGUCAUGCCAAUGGCACUGCUGAUUGGCUACGUCUGGACUGGAUAAGCGCUGAAAGCAUCUAAGCGCGAAGCCAACCUCAAGAUCAGGUCUCCCAUCUGGUUAACAGAGUAAGACUCCUUGCAGACUACAAGGUGGAUAGGCCGGAGGUGUAAGCGUGGCAACACGUUCAGCCGACCGGUACUAAUAAGUCGAGGGCUUGGUU
rnacentral:rRNA from 2 species